AUUGAACGCUAGCGGGAUGCUUUAAACAUGCAAGUCGAACGAGUGGCGGACGGGUGAGUAAAAUAUCGGAAGUGCCCAGUAGCGGGGGAUAACUAAUGGAAAAGGUAGCUAAUAACGCAUACUAUCGGAUAACCCAUAUGGGAUUAGCUAGUAGGUGAGGUAAUGGCCCACCUAGGCGAAGAUCCCUAGCGGGUCUGAGAGGAUGAUCAGCCACACUGGGACUGAGACACGGCCCAGACUCCUACGGAGGCAGCAGUGGGGAAUAUUGCACAAUGGGCGCAAGCCUGAUGCAGCCAUGCCGCGUGUAUGAAGAAGGCCCUAGGGUUGUAAAGUACUUUCAGUCGGGAGGCGUUACCGACAGAAGAAGCACCGGCUAACUCCGUGCCAGCAGCCGCGGUAAUAC
rnacentral:rRNA from 1 species